rnacentral:rRNA from 1 species
UACGGAGGGGGCAAGCGUUGUCCGGACUUACUGGGCGUAAAGGGUGCGUAGGUGGCCUGCUGCGUCGGUGCUGAAAGCGCCCGGCUUAACCGGGCGAGGCGUGCCGAUACGAGCGGGCUUGAGCCUCGGAGAGGGCGGUGGAACUCCUGGUGUAGUGGUGAAAUGCGUAGAGAUCAGGAAGAACACCCGUGGCGCAAGCGACCGCCUGGCCGAGCGCUGACACUGAGGCACGAGAGCGUGGGGAGCGAACCGG